rnacentral:rRNA from 1 species
AUGGCAAUUGUCCAUACGUACGGGAAGCCUGACAUCUUCUUGACCAUGACCUGCAACCCUAACUGGGAAGAGAUAACGAAUGAGUUGUUUCCUGGUCAGACAGCGCAAGAUCGACCUGAUCUUGUGGCUCGUGUGUUCCAUGGCAAGCUAGAGGCUAUGAAAGAGAUCUUGUUCAAGAAGAAUAUCCUAGGUGUUGUUGUCGCACAUGUAUAUGUAGUCGAGUUCCAGAAGAGGGGCCUCCCCCAUGCACACUUUUUGUUGAUCAUGGAUUCUGCCUAUAAGCUUGUCGUUCCAGAGCAGUACGACCGACUCAUUUCUGCCGAGCUCCCAGACAAACAGAAGUAUCCUGAACUCCACACCUUGGUGGUGAAACAUAUGAUGCACGGACCAUGCGGUGCUCUCAACCCCAAAAAUGUGUGCAUGCAACAGAACGUGUGCAAGUGCAGAUACCCACGGCCGUUCAAUGAAAACACGGCACAGGGCAAGGACUCAUACCCAGUUUAUCGUCGUCGAGAUGAUGGUCGGCAGGCUAAGGUCCAUGGUAAAAUGUUGGACAACAGAUGGGUUGUGCCAUAUAACCCUUACCUUCUGCGGAUGUUCAAUUGCCACAUCAACGUUGAGGUUUGCUCCAGCAUAAAGGUCGUCAAAUACCUUUACAAGUACAUAUACAAGGGCCAUGGUAGGGCUUCUUUCAGCAUCGACCAGCCCGACGCCGAUGGUAACAUUGAUGAGAUCAAAAGAUACGUAGACGCGAGGUGGGUUACUCCUCCAGAGGCGAUGUGGAGGAUAUUUGGCUUCCCCUUGUGUGCAAAUGACCCGCCUGUCCUAUAG